GACCAGACUCCUACGGGAGGCAGCAGUGGGGGAUAUUGGACAAUGGGGGGAACCCUGAUCCAGCGACGCCGCGUGAGUGAAGAAGUCUCUCGGUAUGUAAAGCUCUAUCAGCAGGGAAGAAAAUGACGGUACCUGACUAAGAAGCCCCGGCUAACUACGUGCCAGCAGCCGCGGUAAUACGUAGGGGGCAAGCGUUAUCCGGAUUUACUGGGUGUAAAGGGAGCGUAGACGGCAGUGCAAGUCUGAAGUGAAAGCCCCGGGCUUAACCCGGGAACUGCUUUGGAAACUGUACGGCUGGAGUGCUGGAGAGGUAAGCGGAAUUCCUAGUGUAGCGGUGAAAUGCGUAGAUAUUAGGAGGAACACCAGUGGCGAAGGCGGCUUACUGGACAGUAACUGACGUUGAGGCUCGAAAGCGUGGGGAGCAAACAGGAUUAGAUACCCCAGUACAG
rnacentral:rRNA from 1 species